rnacentral:rRNA from 1 species
UCACAGGAAACAGCUAUGACCAUGAUUACGCCAAGCUUGGUACCGAGCUCGGAUCCACUAGUAACGGCCGCCAGUGUGCUGGAAUUCGGCUUAUUACCGCGGCUGCUGGCACGGAGUUAGCCGAUGCUUAUUCUUCAGGUACACGUCAUUUAUUCCUCCCUGAAAAAAGAGGUUUACAACCCAUAGGCCGUCAUCCCUCACGCGGUAUUGCUCCGUCAGGCUUUCGCCCAUUGCGGAAAAUUCGCCACUGCUGCCUCCCG